rnacentral:rRNA from 1 species
GGCGAACCGUGCGAACGUUGUUCGGAAUCACUGGGCUUAAAGGGCGCGGAGGCGGAUUGCCAAGUCAGGGGUGAAAUCUCUCAGCUCAACUGGGAAAUUGCUUUUGAUACUGGCAGUCUCGAGUGAGGUAGGGGCAUGUGGAACUCUCGUUGGAGCGGUGAACUGUGUUGAUAUCGGGAGGAACUCCGGUGGCGAAAGCGACGUGCUGGACCUCAACUGACGCUGAGGCGCGAAAGCUAGGGGAGCAAACGGG